UACGUAGGGUGCAAGCGUUAAUCGGAAUUACUGGGCGUAAAGCGUGCGCAGGCGGUUAUGCAGGACAGAUGUGAAAUCCCCGGGCUUAACCUGGGAACUGCAUUUGUGACUGCAUAGCUAGAGUACGGUAGAGGGGGAUGGAAUUCCGCGUGUAGCAGUGAAAUGCGUAGAUAUGCGGAGGAACACCGAUGGCGAAGGCAGUCCCCUGGACCUGUACUGACGCUCAUGCACGAAAGCGUGGGGAGCAAACAGG
rnacentral:rRNA from 1 species